rnacentral:rRNA from 1 species
UUUAAAGCUUGCUCUUAUGAUUUAGCGGCGGACGGGUGAUUAACACGGGGGUAACCUGCCCAUAAAACUGGAAUAACUCCGGGAAACCGGGGCUAAUACCGGAUAACAUUUUGAACCGCAUGGUUCGAAAUUGAAAGGCGGCUUCGGCUGUCACUUAUGGAUGGACCCGCGUCGCAUUAGCUAGUUGGUGAGGUAACGGCUCACCAAGGCAACGAUGCGUACCCGACCUGAAAGGGUGAUCGGCCACACUGGGACUGAAACACGGCCCAAACUCCUACGGGAGGCAGCAGUAGGGAAUCUUCCGCAAUGGACGAAAGUCUGACGGAGCAACGCCGCGUGAGUGAUGAAGGCUUUCGGGUCGUAAAACUCUGUUGUUAGGGAAAAACAAGUGCUAGUUGAAUAAGCUGGCACCUUGACGGUACCUAACCAGAAAGCCACGGCUAACUACGUGCCAGCAGCCGCGGUAAUACGUAGGUGGCAAGCGUUAUCCGGAAUUAUUGGGCGUAAAGCGCGCGCAGGUGGUUUCUUAAGUCUGAUGUGAAAGCCCACGGCUCACCCGUGGAGGGUCAUUGGAAACUGGGAGACUUGAGUGCAGAAAAGGAAAGUGAAAUUCCAUGUGUAGCGGUGAAUUGCGUAAAGAUAUGAGAGAAACACCAGUGGCGAAGGCGAUUUUCUGGUCUGUAACUGACACUGAGGCGCGA